rnacentral:rRNA from 1 species
CCUACGGGUGGCUGCAGUGAGGAAUAUUGGUCAAUGGACGAGAGUCUGAACCAGCCAAGUAGCGUGAAGGAUGACUGCCCUAUGGUUUGUCAACUUCUUUUAUAUGGGAAUAAAAUGUUCCUCGUGUGGGAUUCUUUAUGUACCAUAUGCAUAAGGAUCGGCUAACUCCGUGCCAGAAGCCGCGGUAAUACGGAGGAUCCGAUCGUUAUCCGGAUUUAUUGGGUUUAAAGGGAGCGUAGGUGGAUUGUUUAGUCAGUUGUGAAAGUUUGCGGCUCAACCGUAAGAUUGCAGUUGAAACUGGCAGUCUUGAGGACAGUAGAGGUGGGCGGAAUUCGUGGUGUAGCGGUGAAAGGCUUAGAUAUCACGAAGAACUCCGAGUGCGAAGGCAGUUCACUGGACUGCAACUGACACUGAGGCUCGAAAGUGUGGGGAUCAAACAGGAUUAGAUACCCCAGUAGUC